CUUGGUGAGUAUAGCUAUGGGGGUACACCUAGUUACAUUCCGAACCUAGAAGUUAAGCCCAUAUACGCUGAUGGUACUUGGCUGGAAGCGGUCUGGGAGAGUAUGGAUUUGCCAAGC
rfam:Fusobacterium nucleatum subsp. vincentii ATCC 49256 Contig0371, whole genome shotgun sequence.